rnacentral:rRNA from 1 species
UACGAAGGGUGCAAACGUUGCUCGGAAUUAUUGGGCGUAAAGCGCACGUAGGCGGUAUAGCAAGUCGAAUGUGAAAUCCCUCGGCUUAACCAAGGAAGUGCAUCCGAAACUGCUGUACUUGAGUACUUAAGAGGAUCGCGGAAUUCCCGGUGUAGAGGUGAAAUUCGUAGAUAUCGGGAGGAACACCAGUGGCGAAGGCGGCGAUCUGGGAAGAUACUGACGCUGAGGUGCGAAAGCGUGGGGAGCAAACAGG